GACGAACCGUGCAAACGUUAUUCGGAAUCACUGGGCUUAAAGGGCGCGUAGGCGGGCCGCCAGGUCCGGGGUGAAAGCCUCCAGCUCAACUGGAGAAGUGCCUUGGAUACCGGCGGCCUCGAGGGAGGUAGGGGCGUGCGGAACUUCGGGUGGAGCGGUGAAAUGCGCAGAUAUCAGGAAGAACACCAAUGGCGAAGGCAGCUCUCUGGGACGGUACUGACGCUGAGACGCGAAAGCGUGGGGAGCGAACAGG
rnacentral:rRNA from 1 species